rnacentral:rRNA from 1 species
UACGAGGGGGGCAAGCGUUGUUCGGAAUUAUUGGGCGUAAAGGGCGCGUAGGCGGUGCGGUAAGUCUGAUGUGAAAUCUCCGGGCUCAACUCGGAGUCUGCAUCAGAAACUGCCGUGCUCGAGUGUGGGAGAGGUGAGUGGAAUUCCCGGUGUAGCGGUGAAAUGCAUAGAUAUCGGGAGGAACACCUGUGGCGAAAGCGGCUCACUGGACCACAACUGACGCUGAGGCGCGAAAGCGUGGGGAGCAAACAGG